rnacentral:lncRNA from 1 species
UCUACUACCGAGCCACUUCUCUAGUCCUUGAUCUCAGCUUUUAAGGGUGCUGCAAGAGCCUUCUCACAUGUCAGCCCCCAAGCUCUAUGUAUGACUUCCUCAUGUUGAAAACGGUCUUCACCAUGGACUUCAUAGUGACUGUGUUUCAGGCCCACACAGGGUUUGACCCAGUCUGAGCCUCUGUCACUGAGCCUUUCUGCUCAUCACCCCAGCAGCAAGUUGGGAGCCCAUCUUGCUUUCUUUGGGUUUAUGAACACCUGAACAGUGGAGAAGAAAGGUUGGUUAUCCACACAGGAAGACUAAACAGGGCUCAGUCAGGUCUCAAGGCAAGAUCUGGCUAAAAUCCUCACUUGGUCCAGAGAGUAACCUCUGAGGCUGAGGAGAGAGUCAUUGAUAUUAUUGGGAUGAAGAAACAGAGACUGAGAGGAGCUGCACAAUUUGGUAGAGAACACACAACUCUAUGGAUGAGGCCCAAAUCCAGGUCCUCAUGGCACCAGGCCCACAUCCUUAUACUCUGGCACUGGGCCAAGCUGCAGAGCCAAGGCCAACACACGCACGAACAGAGCAACUGAACCUGAAUGAGAGCCGGAAUGAGCUGGGUUCCACCUGCACUUGUAAACUCUGAUGUGUGGUUUUCCAUUAAAUAUUUGUUCACCCCAUUAAAGCAUCUGCUGUUAGAUGUGAAUUAAUUAAUGAUGAGUUAUAGUAGCUAAAGAGUUGAAAAUCUGGCUUUCCUUCCUUUUCUGCUCCAACAAUGGUAUUUUAUCCAAAGGAAUGUAGCCAGUCACGUUUUGAUGUUGAUUCUAGCUGUUCUUAUCAUAAAACAACAAAAUUAAUCUCUCUAUAUGUACAAACUUAUCAGGGCAGCUGAACCUGAACAAAGUUUAACUUCCUUGAACUGUUAUCAUACCCUAUCACUUAAGGUUUAAGAAUGACUUGAGGCUAUUUCUGACCAGUAAGAAAUUUUUUCAUUCUGUCUACUGUGGUGUGACAAAGAGACUACUUUAUUGUACCUUGAGCUGGGUCCUCAACUGCAAAGAUUUCUGUACCUUAAUAGCAGGUUGCUGGCAAGAAGGGAGAAUCCAGGACUGGUAGACUGAUUUUGAGUUUAGAACACUUGGCUGAUUUGGGUGUGGUCAAGGAAUGGGUGAUGCCCACAGCAGUGUCUCAGGGAGGCAGAGGACUAGCGCAGGAACCUGGGUAUGGUGGACCUGGCCUGGGAGCAGGACAUCCUGGGCAAUGGGAAGCAUGCUCUAAGGAAGGUGGGUAGUUGUCUUCUGACUCCUGAUGGGAAACACAGGCCUAAUCACCUUCUGUAUUUCAAACAUGUCCAUGGUGAUAUUCCCUUCUUCAUCUUGUAUUUAAGUAAUUUGAGUUUUAUCUUUUUUUCUUUUCAUUAGCAUGGCCAGAGGUUUACCUAUUUUAUUUAUUUUUUUCAAAGAACCAACUUUUUGUUUUGUCAAUUUUUUCAAUUGUUUCUUUUGAUUUCAUUUCUGAUUUUAAUUAUUUCCUAUCUUCUACUGUUUUGGGUGUUGAUUUGUUCUUCUUUUUCUAGGGCUUUGAGAUGUAGGUAAUUUAUUUGUUGACUUUUUAUUUUUUACUGAAUGCACUCAAUGCAAUAAUCUUUCCUCUUAGUACUACCUUCACAGUGGCCCAGAGAUUUUGAUAUUUUGUAUCAGUAUUCCUAUUUACCUCUAAAUUUUUUUUUCCGUAUUUGGUUUCUUCUACUAUCCAUUCAUUAUUCAAUUGUAUUUUAUUUAGUCUCCAUUUGUUACAGUAGCUUCUAUUUUUUAUUUUAUUGUUAAUUGCUAAUUUCAUUCCAUUUAUUCUACAUAUGUCUGUUAAGUCUAAAUUAUUGAUUAUACUAUUUAGUUCUAUAGUUUCCUUAUUUAGUUUUUGUUUGGAAGAUCUGUCCAGUAGUGACAGAGGUGUGUUAAAGUCACCCAGUAUUGUUGUGUUGUGGUCU